UUUGUGCUCCUUAUGUAAAAAUCAAAACUUUUGCAUUCCAUGUCGCGAAAUUUGAGUUUUUUUGUAGUUUCAUUGAUUUAAUAUCACAUCUUUCAGCCUGCCUCUUUGUAAAAAUUGAAACUUUUGUAUGACUUGAGUUGGUAGAUAUCAAAAUUUUUGUUCUGCUUAUGUAAAAAUCAAAACUUUUGCAUUCCAUGUCGCGAAAUUUGAGUUUUUUGUUGUUUAAUUGAUUUAAUAUCACAUCUUUCCGCCUGCCUUUUUCUAAAAUUGAAACUUUUGUAUGACUUGAGUUGGUAGAUAUCAAUUUUUUGUGCUCCUUAUGUAAAAUCAAAACUUUUAUGUGCUUCGAUUUGAGUUUGAAUCUUUCUUAAUUUAUUGCUUUAAAUUUGUAUCUUUCUCACUGUCUCCCUUUAUGAAUAUAACAUUUGGUAUGCUUUGAUGUUGUUGAAAUUGAAUCUUUGGUUUCCUUGAUGUAAAAAUUGAAUCUUUUAUUUAUAUUGUAGUAGAUAACUCAUUUCUAAAUUCUAAAAACAAGAAAAACAAGAAAAUGCUAAAAAAUCAAAAUUUACAUAAUUAAAAGUGAAAUUUAUAAUAGGGGGUGUAUUUAAUUGAUGAAUUAGGGGUAGGUUAGGGUUUUGAGGUAAAGAUAAAAAAGACAGUGCAUUGAUGAACAGGGUCUUAUUGGGUUUGUUGUGAAAAAGAAAUGACGGAUUAUAAAAUUUUAAAGACGGGCGCUGACGAACGGUAAAAUUAGAGUUUCGAGGUUAAGAGAGAGAUAAAAGACUGUAUCUUUGAAGUGAAUUGAUAUCAAAGCUAUGAAAUUUAUAAAAGGGGGUCGGUUUAGUGUUUGAAUUGAUAAACUAGUUUUGGAUAAUUUUUUUUUGUUAAAGUAUGUUAUGUAGUCAGGUGAAUUGAGUUUAGUGAUUUUUUUACGAAGAUCACCUACAAAACCAUAUGAAUAAAAUCCUGACAAAUCAGUUCCUUGUAUAAACCACUGCAACAUAUAAAUUCACGUCAUCAUCCUCAAUCUCUAUAUAUGUACACACGUCAAAUAUGCAUAUAUAUGUUAUUAUUCAUUAGUUUUUCUUUCAGAUGGGAAGAAAAAUUGGAUUUUUGAAUUGUGGAUUGGGUUUAGGGUAUUUAAGCGUAAUUAAGGCUUGUUGUGCUUCCAAUUUCUCGCAGCUAUGCAGUAAAGUGAACCAAAGAAAAGGAACUCCGUUGAGUAGGAUCUGCAAUCUAAAGGAUGACGGAAUAGGAGGAUUUAAAUUUAAUCCAUUAAUUUCAAGGACGAAUUACGCGAAAACAGGGAUGGAGAUUGGGAUACACAAGUCAAAUGUGGGAGAGCUUACAAACAUCAAACAAGGAACUAUUGUUAACUUACCAGGUGAAAACAAGGGCUAUCUUGUUAAUUACAGUUAUGACCAGAAGGUAUGUUCCACUGUUUGUUAAAUUU